rnacentral:lncRNA from 1 species
AUUUGCGGGUUGUUGUGUUCAUUAUCUGUACUUGCAACUUGACUAAGUAAAUUUCAGUUAUCUUUAGAGUCUCGCGAUAUGUUCGCCUAGAGACAAUAGAUUCUUGACCUUUGGCUUUUACAAAUAGAUAACGACACAACCCGCUAAGGAACUUUGUUCUGCUCUUGUCGUGUUUCGAUUGAGAUAACGUCUAGACGCGUUUUUCUACUUUGAAACCAAGAAACUGAAUCUAAGAGUAGAAGGUUCUUUCCUCCGUUUUCUCAAAGACUAUCGAGUAAAUGGGUAGCUAAUCCGUUAAGCGUUUAGUCGAGAAAAGGUUAAAGAUUCACUCCGUUUGGUCGGUCAGU